GAUGAAGAACGUAGCGAAAUGCGAUAAGUAAUGCGAAUUGCAGAAUUUCCGUGAGUCAUCGAAUCUUUGAACGUACAUUGCGCCCACUGGUAUUCCGGUGGGCAUGCCUGUUCGAGCGUCAUUAUCCUCCCUCAAACCCCGGGUUUGGUGUUGGACCGAAGUUGUGUGAACAACUGGUCUAAAAAACAAUGACGGCGUCCGUGGGACCCUCGGUGCAACGAGCUUUUAGGAGCACGCGCCAAGUUGCAAGGACCUUCCGGGCCGGUCUCCUUUUACUAUUUUACAAGGUUGACCUCGGAUCAGGUAGGAAUACCCGCUGAACUUAAGCAUAUCAAUAAGCGGAGGA
rnacentral:misc_RNA from 1 species